CCCCUAGAUGUUCUGGGCCGCACGCGCGCUACACUGAACAGUUCAACAAGUCUUAACCUUGGCCGAUAGGUCUGGGUAAUCUUUGAACGCUGUUCGUGAUUGGGAUAGACCUUUGCAAUUAUGGGUCUUCAACGAGGAAUUCCCAGUAAGCGCAAGUCAUAAGCUUGCGUUGAUUACGUCCCUGCCCUUUGUACACACCGCCCGUCGCUACUACCGAUUGAACGUUUUAGUGAGGUAUUUGGACUGGACCUUCGGAGGUUCGCGCCUCCGUUGCUGUUCGGGAAGACUCCCAAACUUGAGCGUUUAGAGGAAGUAAAANUCGUANCA
rnacentral:rRNA from 1 species